rnacentral:rRNA from 1 species
CACGCAGGCGGUUAUGCAAGUCUGAUGUGAAAUCUCCGGGCUCAACUCGGGAAACGCGUUGGAAACUGCAUGACUAGAGUAUUAGGAGGGGGAGUCGGAAUUCCUAGUGUAGGGGUGAAAUCUGUUGAUAUUAGGAAGAACACCGGUGGCGAAGGCGGACUCCUGGCUGGAUACUGACGCUGAGGUGCGAAAGCAUAGGGAGCAAACAGGAUUAGAUACCCUGGUAGUCUAUGCUGUAAACGAUGUGCACUUGGUGUUGGGGCCGAUUAGGCUCGGUGCCGAAGCUAACGCGAUAAGUGCACCGCCUGGGGGAGUAUGCCCGCAAGGGUGAAA